rnacentral:rRNA from 1 species
CAGAUGACGACCGGCGCACGGGUGAGUAACGCGUAUGCAACCUGCCUGUAACUGGAGGAUAGCCCUUGGAAACGAGGAUUAAUACUGCGUAACAUUAUUGAAUCGCAUGGUUUAAUAAUCAAAUCUACGGAGGUUACAGAUGGGCAUGCGUGCCAUUAGUUAGAUGGUGAGGUAACGGCUCACCAUGACAUCGAUGGCUAGGGGUUCUGCAAGGAAGAUCCCCCACACUGGUACUGAGACGCGGACCAGGCUCCUACGGGAGGCAGCAGUGAGGAAUAUUGCGCAAUGGAGGAAACUCUGACGCAGCCAUCCCGCGUGCAGGAUUGACGGCCCUAUGGGUUGUAAACUGCUUUUCUAUACCAAGAAACACCGAUACGUGUAUCGGUUUGCCGGUAGUAUAGGAAUAAGCAUCGGCUAACUCCGUGCCAGCAGCCGCGGUAAUACGGAGGAUGCAAGCGUUAUCCGGAAUCACUGGGUUUAAAGGGUGCGCAGGCGGAAUAGUAAGUCAGAGGUGAAAGCCCACAGCUCAACUGUGGAAUUGCCUUUGAUACUGUUAUUCUGGAGUGUAGUUGAAGUAUGCGGAAUAUAGCAUGUAGCGGUGAAAUGCAUAGAUAUGCUAUAGAACACCAAUUGCGAAGGCAGCUUGCUAAACUAUAACUGACGCUGAGGCACGAAAGCGUGGGGAGCGAACAGGAUUAGAUACCCUGGUAGUCCACGCCGUAAACUAUGAACACUCGCUGUUGGCAAUACACAGUCAGCGGCUGAGCGAAAGCGUUAAGUGUUCCACCUGGGAAGUACGAUCGCAAGGUUGANACUCAAAGGAAUUGACGGGGGCCCGCACAAGCGGAGGAGCAUGUGGUUUAAUUCGAUGAUACGCGAGGAACCUUACCUGGGCUUAAAUGUAUAUUGACGUACUGAGAAAUCAGUAUUUCUUCGGACAAUUUACAAGGUGCUGCAUGGUUGUCGUCAGCUCGUGCCGUGAGGUGUCGGGUUAAGUCCCAUAACGAGCGCAACCCCUA